UCUAAGCGCUGUUUUUUUUGGUGAGCUGUGGAUCUGCUCAACUUUAUUCAGAGUUAGUGUGGCCUCAUAAGUCAACAUGGCAUGUUGUUAUGCUGCGAGUGAAAGUCUAUUAAACCUAUUAUUAUUUUGUUAUACCUUUAUUGUGGACGUGAUGCAUAAGUAGAUAAGGCACUUGCACGCAAAUACACAUACGUCCGUGCAUAUUUGGCGAUUCUCUCUGUAAACAUAUGUUUGGCCAAAUCUGCCAUGGACAAGAAAACAUUCAAUAACGUUGGUACCUAGAUGACCUUGGUUAUUUCAUGCCAUGGAUAUACCUUUAACAAAGUCGUAUUUAAACUUUUACCAAAAUGGCAAUGGUUACAUAAACGUUGUUGCCAAUCUUUAAAGCCAAAUCUGCCAAGCUUAUGGACAGUAAAAUAUUCAGUAUUAUUGGUACCUGGAGAUUUCUAUAUAUAGACAAUUUAAAUAAUGUAAAGUUGUUGCCAUAUCUGGAUCGGUUGUGAAAUCAAAAUUUGUAGUUGUGUCGAUUUUAAAGAAUUUCACGAAUCCUUGAAGAAAUCGGUGUACAGAAAAUGGACAUGUCCUAAUUUGAGCUAUUAGCAGCCUGCACCAGCAGUCAUAUACACAUAUGCAUAUACAUUUUUGUCUUUUAUCUCUGCAUACAUGUGUUUGAAUGCCAAUUGUUAGUAUGGAUCCACACGGCAUCGAAAAGGUAUAACAUUCCUAAAUCUGAAAUUAUUUACCCGAGCGGAGUUAUAAAACGACAUCAUUUCGCGCAGGCGGAAUUAUUUUGUUUUCUAACGUCAUACAUCCGCGCGGUUCUAAAAUAUUAAAAUUUGUAGUGAUCUGUCGAUUUUCAAGGCGUUCGCGAAAUCUAAAAUGGAUAUCUUUCCAAAAUCAGACCUAAUGUAA